rnacentral:piRNA from 1 species
UUNCCACUUAGAACACAGGAUGUCAGCGCCU